rnacentral:rRNA from 1 species
CACGUAGGGUGCGAGCGUUGUCCGGAAUUAUUGGGCGUAAAGAGCUCGUAGGCGGUGUGUCGCGUCGGCCGUGAAAACCUGCAGCUUAACUGUGGGCGUGCGGUCGAUACUGGCAUCACUGGAGUUCGGCAGGGGAGACUGGAAUUCCUGGUGUAGCGGUGAAAUGCGCAGAUAUCAGGAAGAACACCCGUGGCGAAGGCGGCUCUCUGGGACGGUACUGACGCUGAGACGCGAAAGCGUGGGGAGCGAACAGG